ACUAGUCUUACUGAUCAGUACAAACCUUUCAUUCAUUGAUUCAAAAUAAUACAUUUACAUAUUUACUUCCAAAAGUGAGAUAAUAAUACAAAGAUUUCAAAAGAAAUUUCUUAUGGAGGCCAUACUUACUCUCUUUUAUUCCUCCCACAGAGUGUGAAGAUCACGAAAAGAACUUAAAGAAAUCUCCUGCUCACAGAUCUACUCCCAGGCCUUGGACUAGCCACCAAGCACCCUCUGAAAGUAUAAAAUAGGACUCUGAGAUCCUGAAUAAAAGUACCACAUCCACGCA
rnacentral:lncRNA from 1 species